rnacentral:rRNA from 1 species
GACAUAGGUGGCGAACGUUAUCCGGUUUUAUUGGGCGUAAAGGGUGCGUAGGUGGUGAGAUAAGUUAGCGGUGGAAAAUCGAGGCUCAACCUCGUGGAAGCCGGUAAUACUGUUUCACUAGAGGGCAGGAGAGGUUGACGGAACUCCAUGUGGAGCGGUAAAAUGUGUAGAUAUAUGGAAGAACACCAAUAACGGCGAAGGCAGUUAACUAUUCUGUUACUGACAUUGAGGCACGAAAGCGUGGGGAGCAAAACGG